rnacentral:rRNA from 1 species
UACGUAGGGUGCGAGCGUUAAUCGGAAUUACUGGGCGUAAAGCGUGCGUAGGCGGUUCGUUAAGUCUGUUGUGAAAGCCCCGGGCUCAACCUGGGAAUGGCAAUGGAUACUGGCGAGCUAGAGUGUGUCAGAGGAUGGUGGAAUUUCCCGGUGUAGCGGUGAAAUGCGUAGAUAUCGGAAGGAACACCAGUGGCGAAAAGCGGCUUCCUGGUCCAGCACCGACGUUCAGGCACGAAAGCGUGGGGAGCAAACAGG